CAUAAGCCAUCUUGUAAACGAUACAUGGUCUCUUCUUGAAGUUUCACUGUAGCUUGCAAUUCGGCGAAUUUUUUGUUUCUUGAACGAUCUUUAUGUGUUGAUCGUAUUUAUUACUCAGAAAAGUAUGCGAAGCUUCAAUAGCUAUGAAUCUAUUGUUACGGAUUUUCAUGGCUGUUGACAACUCGGUAGUUUCAGCCUUUAUUUCUUUUUAUGCUCGGCAGUAACUCGUUGUUCUAUCAGUAGUUCCUUCCACUUUUCAAUUAGUCUAAUAGUUCGGUGUGCGUAAAGAUAUCGAGAGAAUGAGAGAAAAAUAUCAAAUGCUCUUGGCGGGAAUCGAAUCCACGUCUUCGGUAUUCCAAUCCGAUGUGUUAACCACUACACUACAAGGACCAACCACGCUGGUAAUGCAGCCGGAAUAUGAAAUGUAGGGUACUCGUGAAGAUUCCAGAGCGAGAUUUUUUCUCUACAGGUAAGUUAAACACAAUAAAUAUCUACGAAAAGAAUAGACAUAGUUUAGUAGUAAUAAGAGAAAAAUAUCAAAUGCCUUUGGCGGGAGACGUUGGUCUGAAGUGUCUGAUAUUUUCGCCAUAAUGAAAAUUUGUGGGUAUUUUGAAACUAAUUUAGCUAAGGUUAACAUAGAACUAAUUCCCGCAUCUGCGAUGACAAUUGCCCAUGUCAUUUCUGUGGUUGUGGAAGGGGGCAAAACAACACAAAGAAAAUCGCUACCGCGGCCCGUCGAGUUUCUUGAAUUUGGAUGAGCGUGCAACAUUGAGAAACCUUAUUCCAACGGAAAGUUCAAAACAUCAGACUUUAUGUAUUAAUAAUAAUCGCCACCAAAUACUGUAUAUAAUGUAGCAUAAUCAUCAGUUAGUAAAAUCUCAGAAUGGAUCUUCUGUGUUCAGGUGCACGUCUUCAACGAUCUUUUAGUUUGGCCUUAGUAUGCAAAAUUAAAUUUCAGGCAUUUCAUUUUGUAUACAGCUUCAGUCUGAUUUAGCUUGUCCAUGCGGUCUUUUGGACAAGGAAAGAGGUUGCAAAAAUUAUUCAAAGGGCGAUGAACAAUAUUGAUCUCGUGUUGCCUUUUUGACACUUCUUUUUUUGUUCUUCCGUAUUAUCACUUAUUGUUGAAACAUUUUUUGAUAGCAUUCCCAAUUAAUUUACUUUCAUCCCUCUCCUUUAUGCGUUUUUCAUAUUCAGACUCCUGAGGCCAAAAGAAGAAGGAAAAAGCAAGGAAGAGAAGGACGAGGCCAAAAAAAAGAGAGUUACGUUACGAAUGAUGACUGCGGGAAAUAAUGCGGUAGGAAUGACGGCCAUUUCUCGUCCUGUUAUCGCAGAAGACGAUACAAGAGUGAUUACAUUUUGUUGUAUGUAUAAUAUGUGCAUUCAUUUGCCUUGUCAGUGAAUUAAUCAUCACGGGAUUACUGAGCUGCAAAGGAC